GUAAUUGGAAUAUUACAGGCAUGAUACCAAGUACUUUAUAUACACUACUUCAUAAUCUAAAAAGCAGUUAUUAUCGCUAUUUUGCAGAUCCAAAAAUGGAGGCACAGAGUUUGUUACCCUGAUCACCUAGCUAAAGGUGCAAGAGGAGGGGUUGAAGUCAGGUCUCCUGAAUCCAAAUCUUGGCGAUGUUUAAGCUAAGGUGUACUACAUUUUGCGAGCUAGCUGAUAUCAAAGGAGGAAAUAAGAUACUUCAAUGGGUAAAAGAUCUGGUGCAGGCAGAGACUCUCCCAGAAUGCUCGUGUCAACUUUCUGCCAGUUCAUUUCAGCCAACUGUGAUGAAUAGCAAAGAAGAUUGGCGGGAGUAAGUGGAGUAGAGCAAAUGCCCUCACCCCUGUGGAAUCUGAUCACACUGGCCUUGGUUUCUGGUUCUUGGGUCCAACUGUGGUGUCUUUUGGACAGAGGAUGUAUCCUUUGGCAGUUGCACUUUCCUCAUCGGUCAAACAGAUCCACAGUCCCCCCAGGCCUGUGCUCAGUUUGAAACUAGACAAUGCAGUGAAGAGUUGCGCCCAGUGGCUGGCGUGUAGAAAGUACAAGCAUCACUGUGGUGACCGUGGCUGAGCCAAGGCCACAGAAAUGGUACCUGAGUGGCAUCAGGCAGAACUUCUGUGCCAGCCUUAGAUGAUGAAACGAGCUGGAAAUGACAUCAGGUCUUUGCAGGGAGUGGUUCACCGUCUCUAACAACAGUAUCCGCAGGCCAGAAGCAUGUUUGGAAAUAGAACCCGGGAGCCCCGACAUGAGUGAUUGACUUGAGUCGCCCUUUGGAGCUCACGCACACGUCCUACCUUCUUCAGAAUUCACACAAUGCCAAGAUCGCAUCACACCUCGAGAAGAGAGUAGCCAAACCUGAGGCAGCUGGCAUCCUGGGGCGCUUUGCUCACUAACCUUAAAAACAAACACAUCGCACUGACAGCAGCCCACCAGCCUGCUUCGGGCAGGGCAGAGCCUGGAACCCAAGAGCCCUCCUAGUCUGCUGAUGAGAGUGACAGCAGCAGAGAUCAAAGUUUAAUGCACUGACUGUCUCUGGUUUUGAGUGCCCAGCGGGGCUGAAGGGGCUGCCUCCUCCUCGGGGCCCAGAGAGGGUGGUUGGGUGGACCUGAAGGAGGAAGGCAGCUCAGCUGAUACAAAGCCAACCCCACUGCAGGCUCAGUCGGGGCUCUGGGUGCCCUGGGCCUUCUCUGCAACCUGGCUGGAGGGCCUGGUUCAGUUAUUUUCAGACUUCCCAGAUCCAUGGAGUUUCAGCAGGCAUGAAGAACAGAACACAGGGAACCAGCUGGAAUAAGCCCUCAGAAUAGAACUGCUUGCAGAAAGACCAAAAUAAUAAAUAUCUGAACACAUUAUCCUGUUUCUAGAUU
rnacentral:lncRNA from 1 species